rnacentral:misc_RNA from 1 species
UAAGAUAUGCGUUCCCGCUGU